CCUAUGUUUCCCAGGUAGGCUCUCAAGCGAUCCUCCCACCUCAACCUCCUGAGUUGCUAAGAUUACAGGUGAGUGUCACCUUGCCUGCCAUGAUUUUGUCACCACAGAUCCCUCUCAUUCCCUUUCAUAGGAAGUCACUGAGAACCAGAAAAGCUUGAGCCAAGAACUAGGGAAACUGAUAUUUGAACUCAUUUCUGUUGGGUGCCAAACUUCUCUGUGCCUGCUUCUGUGAAAAUUGGAGGUGGCAAGAUCCACUGGCUCACACAUAUAAUCCCAGCAUUUGGGAGGCCUAGGUGGGUGGAUCACCUGAGGCCACUGCACACCAGUGUGGACAACAAGAGUGAAACUCUAUCUUGAAAGAAAGAAAGAAAGACGAAGAGAGGAAGGGAGAGAGAAUGAGAGAGAAGAAAGAGAGGGAGGGAGGGAGGGGGAGAGAGAGAGAGAGAAAGAAAAGAAAUAAAGGAAGGAAGAAAAUCAGAGGCUUUGGUCCAUUAAUCUGCCAUACUCUGAAGUAAUUCUGUCCCUGCUUGAAUGUGAUCUCCUUGAGGCAAAGUCUGGGUCUCCUUCCUCUUGCAUGCCCACUCUGGCCUGUCUGUCCCACACUAGCUGCUCGAUGACGGCUGGCCCAUGUAGAGUAUGGGUUUGAGGCAUCCCAAGACUUGGAGCUGUAGAAGAUGUGAGUGAGGAGCCUUGGAAUGCUCUGCCCAUCAGGAAAUGUGUCUAUCCCAGAGUUCAGCCGAGAAGCUGCGCUCCCUCCGACGCCAGAGCUCCCCUACCCAGGGUGGAACCUUGGAUGGCCAAGUACAUUGGCUCAAUAUUUGCCUUGGGUAGCUGGGUGCAGUGGCUCCAGCCACUGUUGGAUCUGUAAUCCUAGCACUUUGAGAGGCUAAGGCAGGUAUUCAGAAUAUGAUAAAGGUAAUAUCUGAAAUGUUUUGAGUGUAACACAAAAUUUGAAAGCAAUUUUUAAAAUUAGAUGUAAUUCCAUUACAUCAGUAUAAAAAAAUCCCCUCAUGGCAAACACGGUAAGCAACAUCAAAGGACAAACAACAAACUUAAAAGCAACAGUGUAAGUCAUAUCGCCAAGAGCUAAUCUGCUUAAUAUAUCUAACGCUCCUACAUUUCAAUAAGACGGUAACCAUAUAAUAGAGAAACAGGUUGCAUAUAUGAAGAGUGAACUCCCAGAAAAAGAAUUACAAAUGACUUAUUCACAUGAAAAGAUGCCCAAACUCUGUAAUAAGAGAUAUGUAAGUUAAAAAUAAGAAGAAAAUAACAUUUUCACCAAUCGGAUAAACUCUAGUAGCACUCUGUACUGUUGAGUGUAUAAGGAAACAGACACACUAAAACCUUGUUGGUGGAAGUAUAUACCAAUAAAAUGUUAAUGGAGAACAAUUUGGAAAUGUGGGAGACGAUGUAUUUACAUGUAAGUAUUAUGUACUUCAGCACAGAUGUAACAGGAAAAGUGGUGGGGACAACUAAAGCAUGUUACAUUUAGUCGAUGGAGUGAAUGCUCUGCAGCCAUCACAGAGAAUGAGGCAGUCCCGUAAGGACCAAGAUGAAGUGAUCUUUUACAUACCCAGAGCAGCAGAUCUGUUUGCUUGUUGGCUUCACUACUGGUAGAGUCAUCUUUGGUAAGGUAAUGCAGAACAUCUAAUUCAAGAAUAUGACUUCCCGGCUGGGCGCGGUGGCUCAAGCCUGUAAUCCCAGCACUUUGGGAGGCCGAGGCGGGUAGAUCACGAGGUCAAGAGAUCGAGACCAUCCUGGUCAACAUGGUGAAACCCCAUCUCUACUCAAAAUACAAAAAAUUAGCUGGGCACGGUGGUGUGUACCUAUAGUCCCAGCUACUCAGGAGGCUGAGGGAGGAGAAUUGCCUGAACCCAGGAGGCAGAGGUUGCGGUGAGCCGAGAUUGCACCAUUGCACUCCAGCCUGGGUAACAAGAGCGAAACUCGGUCUCAAAAAAAAAAAGAAUAUGACUUCCCAUAAAUACUGAAGAAGAAUUCAAAGCUACCAAUUGGGGAAAGAGCUUUUUAUAAAGCAGUGUAAAAAUCUACAAAUUACCUAGAAAACAGAACAUCCUGCAGAAAACUCUAACUAAGAGCAUCCAAAAUGGAAUUCUUUACUGCACUUGCAUGCUAACCUGUCUCAUCAUCCUACCAUAUCUGCUUCUCUUCCUCCUCAGACAACCCCAGAUAACAGCACAGAGAGCCCAGACAUCCUUACACUGCAUGUGAGCUCAUGAUGCUAAAAACAGCCAGAGGGUGACUAACUCAUGAAUCCCCAAGUGUGUUCUCAGAUCAUCCACAGGAACCAGAAAGCAGUGAACUUUUCCAAAUGCACAGAAACAGAAGCAGAAAGCAAGUGAUUUAAUCAAGACACCACAGAGAUUAAAGGGUUACAAAUAAUACCAGCAAAUCCGGAGACCCGCUGAAGGGAAAUAGAAGGUAGUCUAACUUCAUUAUGACUGAAAAAUGCAUCUGGUAUAUCCAUACAAUAGAAUAUUACUACGCAAGUAAAAGGAAAAGAACUACUGACACAAAAAACACCAUGGAUGAAUCUCAAAAUAAUCACGUUGAAUGAAAAAAGCCAGAAAAAAAGAAUACCUACUGUAUGAUCCUAUUUAUAUAAGUUAGAAAACGAAAACUAAUCUACAGUUACAAAAAGCUUAUCAGUGGUUCCCUGUGGAUCAGAGGCAGGAGGGAGACAGUACUGAAGGGAACAAGGAAACUGUUGGGAUGACAAGUGCAUCUAUUAUCUCUAGUGGUGCCAGCUCUAUGGCUGAAUACCCAUGUGAAAACAUCUAACUUUACACUUGUAAUAUGUGCAGCUUGGGUGUCACUUGACUCCUCAAUAAAGCUGUUAAAAUUUUUUUGAUAAAUAUAAGUUCACAUUGACCACCAUUCAGGUUUAACUGAAGCCUUACAAAAUGAAGGAGAUUAUUUUCACUUUCAGAAGGAUAUCUGAUCGCAGUUACAUACCAUGCUUGUGGACAAGCAAUUUCAGAAUAAAUACAGAUUUCAAAUACUUAAAUAUCUGUAUUUCUUCCCACUCAUCCUUUUCAUUAUUUAAAAGAAGCUAAAGCAUUUUACAAAAAAAAAUUCCAUCACUUCAAGUUUCUUACAGACUCUCUGAAAUUCAAUCAACAUUUAACUUUUUGGAAAAGAUGGGACCUUCAACACCAUCCUGUCCAACUUUCUCAAUUUGAGGAAGUGAACUCAGCCCCUCCCCUUGUAGGGAGUUAUUCAGUCUCACGGCUUUGAAGUCAGCUCUGUGUUGCUGACACCUGCCUUUGUCAUUUUAAUCUUGACCUCCCCACUGAACCACAGACAUUUAUUCCACGGCCCACUAAACCACCUCUCUUGACUAUCUAAUAAGUAUCUAAAACCAAUCGUGGCCAAAGGUAUCUUCUGAUUCCCCUCACCACCAACUUCUCGAAUUUUCCCCAUCUUAGUAAUUGAACCAUCACACAUUCAGUUGCUCAACUAAAACCUAGAAAUCAACUCUUGACUGCUCGUCUCCUGCCUUCCACAUAGAACCCACACUUAAGUUCUUAGCUCUGUCUGCAAAGUAGAUUGCCAAAGCUGGCCCAGGCUCCAUCUACACAGCUCCUAUGGCUUCUUGCCCAGACAACAGCUCUGAAAGGUCCUCAUUUCCUCUUCUGCCUCUACCAGUCAUCACUACACAGUAGCCACAGUCAUGAGGCCCUCAAUCCCCAGACCUAGAACACUCUACAGACUUGCUGCCAUCAUUAAAGUGACAUCCUAACUCCUUAUUCUGCCCUAAAAUAUCAAGGCCCUUUCCACCUCUCCAACCUCAUCUACCACUAUUUCUUCUCUGGAUACAUUCCAGCAUUUCAUACUGACUGUCUCAAAUACACUAAACUCAUUUCCACCCCAAAGCCAACGCUUUUCCACCUGGAAUGCACACAGAUACUUCACCAUUCAUAUCUCAACUCAAAUAACAUCUUCAAAAGCUUCCCAGACCUCACAAUCUACAGAAGCAUCCCCUGGUGAGAAGCUGGUGGUGAGGGGAAUCGGGAGCCCUUUGGCCACAAUAAGUUUAGAAAUGUAUUAGGUGUUCAAGUGAAUAUUUAAUUCACUUAUCAUAGACCCCAUUUUACUGAUGUUAUGGUACUUAUCACUAUCUAAAAUUAUCUUGUAAAGUUCUUUACUUAUUAAUUAUAUAUGCUAAUAAAAUUCA